GGCGGGGGGCGGCGGCGGGCGGCGGAGCGCGGGGGCUGGUUCUCGGUCCCCGGGAGAAGCCAAGAAGAGGUCACUGCUUUGAUCCCACUGUGGGAGCAGCGAAACACAAGGACUCUUCCCCACUGUAUCAUGCUGGAUGAACACAACCAGGGGCCCGUCCCCCCCUUCUGGCCCACGAAGGCCUGCCAGAGCCGACCGAGGGAGCUGCCCUGCCAAGAGCCAUGGGCUAUUGAAAGAGCCUUGAGCUCCUAUCAAGACCGGAGGAGACGUGGCGCUAGGCAUAUCUCGGUGAUGUGGGAGCACGAAGACGUUGAGUGGGGUGGCUGACGUCACACUGAGCAGAGGGAAAGAGCGGCUGUGCCUUGAGCUUCCCCGCCUUCCAGGCUGCACCGGGUUGUGUGCCAGCAUGGCGAUGCUACCAGAGGCUUCCGCACCUGCCACGCAGGGCUGAGAACGUCCAUUCCCCUUGGACGUGUGAAUGCCAGGACAGCAGGUGCCAUGAUCUGAAAUCCAGGCCAUUGUUUAAUGGCAGAAGGAAGACCCCAAAGGAAGGAGCUUUUUCCCACCCAAACUACUUGCCCCUUUGGUCUUGAAUUUGACUAGGUUCUUUUACGGAAAGUAACAAACAAAACAUAACAAAUAAAACCACAAAACACAAA